rnacentral:rRNA from 1 species
UUCAUGGAGAGUUUGAUCCUGGCUCAGGACGAACGCUGGCGGCGUGCCUAAUACAUGCAAGUCGAGCGGAGUUAUCCCUUCGGGGAUAGCUUAGCGGCGGACGGGUGAGUAACACGUAGGUAACCUGCCUGUAAGACCGGGAUAACAUUCGGAAACGAAUGCUAAUACCGG